rnacentral:rRNA from 1 species
UACGUAGGGUGCAAGCGUUAAUCGGAAUUACUGGGCGUAAAGCGUGCGCAGGCGGUUCUAUAAGACAGAUGUGAAAUCCCCGGGCUCAACCUGGGAACUGCAUUUGUGACUGUAGAGCUGGAGUACGGUAGAGGGGGAUGGAAUUCCGCGUGUAGCAGUGAAAUGCGUAGAUAUGCGGAGGAACACCGAUGGCGAAGGCAAUCCCCUGGACCUGUACUGGCGCUCAUGCACGAAAGCGUGGGGAGCAAACAGG